rnacentral:rRNA from 1 species
GAUGAACGCUGGCGGCGUGCCUAAUACAUGCAAGUCGAGCGAACAGAUGAGGAGCUUGCUCCUCUGACGUUAGCGGCGGACGGGUGAGUAACACGUGGAUAACCUACCUAUAAGACUGGGAUAACUUCGGGAAACCGGAGCUAAUACCGGAUAAUAUAUUGAACCGCAUGGUUCAAUAGUGAAAGACGGUUUUGCUGUCACUUAUAGAUGGAUCCGCGCCGCAUUAGCUAGUUGGUAAGGUAACGGCUUACCAAGGCAACGAUGCGUAGCCGACCUGAGAGGGUGAUCGGCCACACUGGAACUGAGACACGGUCCAGACUCCUACGGGGGGAAGCAGUAGGGAAUCUUCCGCAAUGGGCGAAAGCCUGACGGAGCAACGCCGCGUGAGUGAUGAAGGUCUUCGGAUCGUAAAACUCUGUUAUUAGGGAAGAACAAAUGUGUAAGUAACUAUGCACGUCUUGACGGUACCUAAUCAGAAAGCCACGGCUAACUACGUG